GUAUAACAGAAAAGUUUGAAUGAAGUUUGGACUCAGUUUGGGACUCAGUCUGUGCUGCUUUAGAACUGAACAUGAUUACAGUCUUUAUUUCACUGAUUCUGUUACUGUGCUGCAGCCAAGGCACUGCAGGUGGGAGUGAUGUUGUACAAGAACCUAUUCUUUGGAAAGCAAAAGGGAGUUCUGCAGUUAUAAACUGCAUACAAAAUAAGGGUGCUACCUACAGUCUGAUGUACUGGUACAAACAGCGUCCAGGAGAGACUAUGAAACUCAUAGUAAUCACUAAUGCUCAUGGAGAUCCAGAAUUUGGAGAUGCUGACAAAAACAAAUUCGAUAUUGAAAAAAAUGAUACUAAAAGUGGGUCUCUUACUGUAAAAGAUCUAGACACAGAUGACAGUGCCAUAUACUUCUGUUCAGUGAGUGAACACAGUGUGUCAAAGACUGGAGAGUGCUGUACAAAAACAUUAUUGCAUAAAAAGAUCAGCGACAGCAUUAGUCAACAGGUGGCAGUCUGGUAUAACCAAUAACUGUAGUCUGUAUAUCACAACA